rnacentral:Y_RNA from 1 species
AGCUGGUUUGAUGGUAGUGGGUUAUCAGAACUUAUUAAUGUUAGUGUCACUAAAGUUGGUAUACAACCCCCCACUGCUAAAUUUUGGCUUAAA